rnacentral:lncRNA from 1 species
UUAUCUUCUUCAAUAACUCGUAAGUGCACAUUGUAGCCAACUUCUUUUCUUCAUUUAUAAUGCUUGGAAUCAAUGCUUAUUAAUUAGAAUCGAUUAUACUAAAAAUAGCAAAAUUAGAAGUGGAAUUAGCAAAAUGUAGAGGGGCACAUCAGACUUUUGAACUGCAAUCCCUCUAAAUCUUGCCUUCUUAGCGGGUGAGUGAAAAGUAGUGAAUCCC